GCGCUCACUUCGGCAAUGCAAGUAUUAAAAUUGGACCGGGUCAGAGAUUACCAUGCCCCUGCACAAGGAUGACAGGCAAAUUCAUGAAGCAUCCCACCGUUUU